UACAGAGGUCCCAAGCGUUGUUCGGAUUCACUGGGCGUAAAGGGUGCGUAGGCGGUCGGGUAAGUCUGAUGUGAAAUCUCACAGCUUAACUGUGAAACUGCAUUGGAUACUAUCCGGCUCGAGGAAUGGAGGGGAGACUGGAAUACUUGGUGUAGCAGUGAAAUGCGUAGAUAUCGGGAGGAACACCAGUGGCGAAGGCGAUCAUCUGGGGUUGUUCUGACACUGAGGAGCGAAAGCUAGGGGAGCAAACGGG
rnacentral:rRNA from 1 species